CCCAUCAGAGGGCCCUUCUGGUUGUGCUGGUCUUUUCCUGCUCCCUUUGCCAGGGCUGUUACUAUCCUUUCCCCAUCUCUGGAGAGCUACUUCAUCCCCGGGUCUCAUGUUUGUCUUUCUCCACAGCUAUAAUUAUGCCCAUGAUUAGCCCCUACACCCAGUAUGCUAGCAUGAUCAACAAGGCCACACCCUACAACUACCCAGGUGAGCAGGGACCUAUAUUGGGGGGUGGGGAGGGGGAAGACAUAUCUGUGUAGAAAGAGUCCUUGAUGCAUUGACAUGUUCUUUGUCCGCACUUUUAACUUACCAUAACACGUUUUGAGUUUCUCUCUCCAGAUUUCUGUUCUUCUCCAGGUUCCUCUCCCCUGUUGGAGAUAUCUCCCUCAUUUUCCUGUGUCUUUGCCUCAUCUGAAUCUCUGGCCCUCACUUUCCUUUCCCACCUGGCACAUAGACAAACCAGCUGUUUCCUACAGCACCCUGGAGAUCUGCGGGUCUCAGUGGCUCAUCCUUCUGUUUUGCAGUGCCUGUGAGAGAUAAUGGGAACAUGCCUGAUGUGCCCAGCCACCCACAGGAACCUCUGGGUCCAAGCUUGGAAUGGCUCAAGAACCUGUGAAUGCUUCUGUUGAUGGAAUCCGUCCCUUCCCUGUUGCCCUCCAAUAGAAAUGUGAAAA
rnacentral:lncRNA from 1 species